rnacentral:rRNA from 1 species
GACGAGACAUGAGCUGUCUUGGGUGUGAAUUAAUUUGUUGAAUUUGUAUUUUGAGUUAAAAUUCUUAGAUGUUUUUAUGGGACGAGAAGACCCUAUAGAGUUUUACAUUAGGUUGUAUAUUCUUUUUGUUUGUUUUCCAUUUUUAUAUGCCUUUUGUUUUGUUGGGGUGAUGGGAGGAAUUUCUUUAACUCCUCUUUUUAUUGUUAUACUGAUUUGUAUUUGUUUUGAUCCAUUUAUUUUGAUUAUAAGAUUAAAUUACC